GGAUGUGAGAGUGAUCUGGCUGCGAUAUCUGUCACUCCAUUGAUUGCCAGGGUUGAUUCGGCUGAUCUGGCCGGCUAGGCGGGUGUCUCCUGUCCUCACCACUUCAUGUGUGUCCCUCCUGAAGCUGCAUGUUUGGUUGAAGAGGACGACCAUCCCCAAUAGAGGAGGACCGGUCUUCCAUCAAGGGUAUACGAGUAGCUGCGCUCCUCUGCUAGAACCUCCACACAAGCUCUCAAGGACAUGAAAAUAGAUAAGGAAGUAGAAUGAAGAAUAAAGAGGGAAGUUCAUUUUUUGAAGCAACUAAGGUGAUCUUU
rnacentral:snRNA from 1 species